CGUAAAAUGCUAAUUAUUUUCUCCUGCCACCUUUCAGACAUUGUCAUCCAAUUUGGAUGGAACAACUUCGUGACCUUAAUGACACCCAGCAACACGGUGAGAUUAUAAUCCAUUUAAAUGCCAGAAGCAUGACAUUUUUUAAGAUGUUUUUUCUUUAUUUGUGUUAGAGAGAAGCACACAAGCACCACAGGGGAGGAUCUGCAGCAAAGGGCCCACCGGAAAUCAAACCUUGGCCGCUAUGAUGACGACAACAUGGGGCACUUGAGUGUGAAUCUAGCCUUUUCAUUUUGAUUUACAACCUUGGCAUUGAAAAGAGCAAAAGUUGAUGCUUGAGAUGAUUUUGGUUUUACUGAAGAGGAUGUACGUCUUCCCCUUGUCCUUUAUCUCCUUACUCUUUCUUUUUAGGUGUGACUACGACUACCAGCAUGAACCUCAACACCUUCUUUGCUGUUCCACUAGUGUGACCCAUGAUCGGAUGCAAGUUGUCAAGGAUAAACGGUGAGAGAAUCAUGUCAGCCCACAGACAACCGAUUGACCUGUGAGUCUUCAAGCAGUAAUGAUGACUACGCCUGCCUUAAGUUCCAGUUUCCUGAACAUCAUGGCAUGUCUGCAGGAUAUUCGGUCCCCACCUGUCUUCAGUCUGGACCUAAUGACUCAGACACCAGUCUUGUCGAGGCUAAAUCGAGAGAGGAUCACCUGAUGUCAACAUACGAGUUUUCAAGAAGAACUUCCUGAACUUUGUGUCUGUGUGAGACUACCAUGCUGGGUGCCCUCUUCAGUCAAGUCUGGACACAGAGACUCAUUGCUCUUAAUCAACUCUGGGCAAGUGGCUAAUCUUUUGCUUAUUCAUGGGAUAUCCUUCAUGUCCACAUCCUGUUUUUUCAAGAUCUCAACAAUGCU